rnacentral:rRNA from 1 species
CCUACGGGCGGCAGCAGUGAGGAAUAUUGGUCAAUGGACGAGAGUCUGAACCAGCCAAGUCGCGUGAAGGAUGACUGCCCUAUGGGUUGUAAACUUCUUUUAUAUGGGAAUAAAAUGUUCCACGUGUGGGAGUUUGUAUGUACCAUAUGAAUAAGGAUCGGCUAACGCCGUGCCAGCAGCCGCGGUUAUACGGAGGAGCCGAGCGUUAUCCGGAUUUAUUGGGUUUAAAGGGAGCGUAGGUGGAUUGUUAAGUCAGUUGUGAAAGUUUGCGGCUCAACCGCAAAACUGCAGUUGAAACUGGCAGUCUUGAGUACAGUAGAGGUGGGCGGAAUUCGUGGUGUAGCGGUGAAAUGCUUAGAUAUCACGAAGAACUCCGAUUGCGAAGGCAGCUCACUGGACUGCAACUGACACUGAGGCUCGAAAGUGUGGGUAUCAAACAGGAUUAGAUACCCGAGUAGUC